ensembl:misc_RNA Metazoa_SRP Metazoan signal recognition particle RNA
GCCGGGCAUGUUGGCACGUGCCUGUAGUCCCAGCUACUCGGGAGGCUGAGGUGGGAGAAUCGCUUGAGCCCAGGAGUUCUGGGCUGUAGUGCACUAUGCCAAUCAGGAGUCCGCACUAAGUUCAGCAUCAAUAUGGUGACCUCCCGGGAGCAGGGGACCACCAGCUUGCCUAAGGAGGGGUGAACCGGCCCAGGUUGGAAACAGAGCAGGUCAAAACUCCCAUGCUUAUCAGUAGUGGGAUCGCAUCUGUGCAUAGCCAUUGCACUCCAGCCUGGGCAAUAUAGCGAGACCUCGUGUCU